rnacentral:rRNA from 1 species
UGGGGAAUAUUGCACAAUGGGGGAAACCCUGAUGCAGCGACGCCGCGUGGAGGAAGAAGGUCUUCGGAUUGUAAACUCCUGUUGUUGGGGAAAAAGAGGAUGGUACCCAACAAGGAAGUGACGGCUAACUACGUGCCAGCAGCCGCGGUAAAACGUAGGUCACAAGCGUUGUCCGGAAUUACUGGGUGUAAAGGGAGCGCAGGCGGGUAUGCAAGUUGGGAGUGAAAUACAUGGGCUCAACCCAUGAACUGCUCUCAAAACUGUGUAUCUUGAGUAGUGCAGAGGUAGGCGGAAUUCCCGGUGUAGCGGUGGAAUGCGUAGAUAUCGGGAGGAACACCAGUGGCGAAGGCGGCCUGCUGGGCACCAACUGACGCUGAGGCUCGAAAGUGUGGGUAGCAAACA